rnacentral:rRNA from 1 species
AGAGUUUGAUCCUGGCUCAGAUUGAACGCUGGCGGCAGGCUUAACACAUGCAAGUCGAGCGGUAACAGAGAGUAGCUUGCUACUCUGCUGACGAGCGGCGGACGGGUGAGUAAUACUUGGGAAUCUGCCUUUUGGAGGGGGAUAACCACUGGAAACGGUGGCUAAUACCGCAUAAUGCUUUCGAGCCAAAGCGGGGGAUCUUCGGACCUCGCGCCAUUAGAUGAGCCCAAGCAAGAUUAGGUAGUUGGUGGGGUAAAGGCCUACCAAGCCGACGAUCUUUAGCUGGUCUGAGAGGAUGAUCAGCCACACUGGGACUGAGACACGGCCCAGACUCCUGCGGGAGGCAGCAGUGGGGAAUAUUGGACAAUGGGCGCAAGCCUGAUCCAGCCAUGCCGCGUGUGUGAAGAAGGCCUUCGGGUUGUAAAGCACUUUCAGUGGUGAGGAAGGCCUAAUAGUUAAUAGUUAUUAGGAUUGACGCUAGCCACAGAAGAAGCACCGGCUAACUCCGUGCCAGCAGCCGCGGUAAUACGGAGGGUGCGAGCGUUAAUCGGAAUUACUGGGCGUAAAGCGCACGUAGGCGGUUUGUUAAGCUAGAUGUGAAAGCCCCGGGCUUAACCUGGGAAUUGCAUUUAGAACUGGCAGGCUAGAGUUUUGAAGAGGGUGGUAGAAUUUCCAGUGUAGCGGUGAAAUGCGUAGAUAUUGGAAGGAAUAUCAGUGGCGAAGGCGGCCACCUGGUCAAAAACUGACGCUGAGGAGCGAAAGCGUGGGGAGCAAACAGGAUUAGAUACCCUGGUAGUCCACGCUGUAAACGAUGUCGACUAGUUGUUCGUGUCAUAAACGAUGUGAGUAACGCAGCUAACGCACUAAGUCGACCGCCUGGGGAGUACGGCCGCAAGGUUAAAACUCAAAUGAAUUGACGGGGGCCCGCACAAGCGGUGGAGCAUGUGGUUUAAUUCGAUGCAACGCGAAGAACCUUACCAUCCCUUGACAUCCAGUGAAUCUUCUAGAGAUAGAGGAGUGCCUUCGGGAGCACUGAGACAGGUGCUGCAUGGCUGUCGUCAGCUCGUGUUGUGAGAUGUUGGGUUAAGUCCCGCAACGAGCGCAACCC